rnacentral:rRNA from 1 species
AGAGUUUGAUCAUGGCUCAGGACGAACGCUGGCGGCGUGCCUAACACAUGCAAGUCGAGCGAGUGAAUCUCCUUCGGGAGUGAAGCUAGCGGCGGACGGGUGAGUAACACGUGGGCAACCUGCCUCAUAGAGGGGAAUAGCCUUCCGAAAGGAAGAUUAAUACCGCAUAAGAUUGUAGCUUCGCAUGAAGUAGCAAUUAAAGGAGCAAUCCGCUAUGAGAUGGGCCCGCGGCGCAUUAGCUAGUUGGUGAGGUAAUGGCCCACCAAGGCGACGAUCGGUAGCCGGACUGAGAGGUUGAACGGCCACAUUGGGACUGAGACACGGCCCAGACUCCUACGGGAGGCAGUAGUGGGGAAUAUUGCACAAUGAGGGAAACCCUGAUGCAGCGACGCCGCGUGGAGGAAGAAGGUCUUCGGAUUGUAAACUCCUGUUGUUGAGGAAGAUAAUGACGGUACUCAACAAGGAAGUGACGGCUAACUACGUGCCAGCAGCCGCGGUAAAACGUAGGUCACAAGCGUUGUCCGGAAUUACUGGGUGUAAAGGGAGCGCAGGCGGGAAGACAAGUUGGAAGUGAAAUCCAUGGGCUCAACCCAUGAACUGCUUUCAAAACUGUUUUUCUUGAGUAGUGCAGAGGUAGGCGGAAUUCCCGGUGUAGCGGUGGAAUGCGUAGAUAUCGGGAGGAACACCAGUGGCGAAGGCGGCCUACUGGGCACCAACUGACGCUGAGGCUCGAAAGUGUGGGUAGCAAACAGGAUUAGAUACCCUGGUAGUCCACACUGUAAACGAUGAUUACUAGGUGUUGGAGGAUUGACCCCUUCAGUGCCGCAGUUAACACAAUAAGUAAUCCACCUGGGGAGUACGACCGCAAGGUUGAAACUCAAAGGAAUUGACGGGGGCCCGCACAAGCAGUGGAGUAUGUGGUUUAAUUCGACGCAACGCGAAGAACCUUACCAAGUCUUGACAUCCUGCGACGCACAUAGAAAUAUGUGUUUCCUUCGGGACGCAGAGACAGGUGGUGCAUGGUUGUCGUCAGCUCGUGUCGUGAGAUGUUGGGUUAAGUCCCGCAACGAGCGCAACCCUUAUGGUCAGUUACUACGCAAGAGGACUCUGGCCAGACUGCCGUUGACAAAACGGAGGAAGGUGGGGAUGACGUCAAAUCAUCAUGCCCCUUAUGACUUGGGCUACACACGUACUACAAUGGCGUUAAACAAAGAGAAGCAAGACCGCGAGGUGGAGCAAAACUCAGAAACAACGUCCCAGUUCGGACUGCAGGCUGCAACUCGCCUGCACGAAGUCGGAAUUGCUAGUAAUCGCAGAUCAGCAUGCUGCGGUGAAUACGUUCCCGGGCCUUGUACACACCGCCCGUCACACCAUGAGAGCCGGGGGGACCCGAAGUCGGUAGUCUAACCGCAAGGAGGACGCCGCCGAAGGUAAAACUGGUGAUUGGGGUGAAGUCGUAACAAGGUA